rnacentral:rRNA from 1 species
UACGUAGGGUGCAAGCGUUGUCCGGAAUUAUUGGGCGUAAAGAGCUCGUAGGCGGUUCGUCGCGUCGGCUGUGAAAACCCGGAGCUCAACUCCGGGCCUGCAGUCGAUACGGGCGGACUUGAGUGUUGCAGGGGAGACUGGAAUCCUGGUGUAGCGGUGAAAUUCGCAGAUAUCAGGAGGAACACCGGUGGCGAAGGCGGAUCUCUGGGCCAUUACUGACGCUGAGGAGCGAAAGCGUGGGGAGCGAACAGG